GGACCAGGUGGAGAGGUGGAAUUAGAACCUUUGCCGGGGCGGGAUGGAGCACACUAACACCAGACAGAGGACCAGGUGGAGAGGUGGAAUUAGAACCUUUGCCGGGGCGGGAUGGAGCACACUAACACCAGACAGAGGACCAGGUGGAGAGGUGGAAUUAGAACCUUUGCCGGGGUGGGAUGGAGCACACUAACACCAGACAGAGGACCAGGUGGAGAGGUGGAAUUAGAACCUUUGCCGGGGUGGGAUGGAGCACACUAACACCAGACAGAGGACCAGGUGGAGAGGUGGAAUUAGAACCUUUGCCGGGGUGGGAUGGAGCACACUAACACCAGACAGAGGACCAGGUGGAGAGGUGGAAUUAGAACCUUUGCCGGGGCGGGAUGGAGCACACUAACACCAGACAGAGGACCAGGUGGAGAGGUGGAAUUAGAACCUUUGCCGGGGAGGGAUGGAGCACACUAACACCAGACAGAGGACCAGGUGGAGAGGUG